ensembl:miRNA
CUGGGGCUCUGAAAGGGGAAGCAGUAGGUAAAUGGCAGAGCUGGGAUUUGAACCCGAGCACACUGGUUCCAGUCUGGGCUGUCAGUCUACACAAAGCCUCUGCAGGGGCAGGGACUG